GCUCAAAGUUAGGUAGCAAUUCCACAAU
rnacentral:piRNA from 1 species